UGGGGAAUUUUGGACAAUGGGGGAAACCCUGAUCCAGCCAUCCCGCGUGUGCGAUGAAGGCCUUCGGGUUGUAAAGCACUUUUGGCAGGAAAGAAACGUCAUGGGUUAAUACCCCGUGAAACUGACGGUACCUGCAGAAUAAGCACCGGCUUACUACGUGCCAGCAGCCGCGGUAAUACGUAGGGUGCAAGCGUUAAUCGGAAUUACUGGGCGUAAAGCGUGCGCAGGCGGUUCGGAAAGAAAGAUGUGAAAUCCCAGAGCUCAACUUUGGAACUGCAUUUGUAACUACCGGGCUAGAGUGUGUGAGAGGGGGGUGGAAUUCCGCGUGUAGCAGUGAAAUGCGUAGAUAUGCGGAGGAACACCGGUGGCGAAGGCAGCCUCCUGGGAUAACACUGACGCUCAUGCGCGAAAGCGUGGGGAGCAAACAGG
rnacentral:rRNA from 1 species